rnacentral:rRNA from 1 species
UUGGAAGUAAAAAGUCGUAACAAGGUCUCCGUUGGUGAACCAGCGGAGGGAUCAUUACCGAGUUUACAACUCCCAAACCCCUGUGAACUUAUACCUAUACUGUUGCUUCGGCGGGUCAUUGCCCCGGGGAAGGACAGGGUGACCGUCAGGUCUCCCCUGCCCGCCCCCCCGGAAACAGGCGCCCGCCGGGGGAAUCAAACUCUAUA